GCGGGGCGAUGGCGGUGGACCUGGGUUGAAGGAGGAGAAAGCGAGUAGGCUCCAGCAGUAGCACGGCAGCGCGGCGGACCUUGCAUAAGUGUCCAUGCCAUCGGGAUCCGCUGCUUUUUCCCCAAAUGCUUUUCAGCGGGAAGGAAUUGUGCACCCCCUCCCGUCUUCGUUAUUCUGCCAUAAGACGACGCCACUCUUUAUCUUUGCCCCCAAAAAUUGCAGUGGGAAGGUGCCGCUGUUAUGGUUCUCCGUAUCAUCUGCAACGGAGGGAAGAGACGCAAAAUGCUGCAGUGAAGCACAAGUUGGGGGAGCCUGAUCGCAAAACAAAGGGACCCGUUUCAUUCCACGAAAACAAAAUAGAACAAUGAUAGAAAAUUAUAACAAUAAAAAAAAUAAAUAAAAGGAAUUAUUUCUGCACGCCAGCUACAGCGUUAAUACGCCGCCUUCCACCGCGGCUCUCUCUCCGCCUCCCCUACCAGCCGCUGACGGAGAGAAAAUAAGACCGAUCGCCAAGGGGCUCCAAAAAAAAAAAAAAAAAAAAAAAAAUGCAGUAUACAAGAAACCGAUGGACCAAAAGGGUCUAUCUCCCCCCCCUUUUAGUUCUGCAUGUCAGUCACUCCAUGGUGUUUCUUCAGCGAGGAUCUCUUGCUCUAAUAAAACAAAUGCAAAUCCUAAAUCCAUGGCUCCCCCUCCUUACAAGCGCAUCCUACUGUAGCCAAGGCAUUUCGCAACCUCCCCCCCACACCUCCCCCCAAAAAAGAAAGAAAAAAAAUCAUAUAGAUUAACAACAGGGGUAGAGGGGGGG